rnacentral:lncRNA from 1 species
GACUUACUUUGCUUUCUAUACUUAAUUUCAUUUUGCUCCCCCUCAUUCAUUCUACAUGCCAACCAAACUGACUUAUUUGCUAUUCCCUGAAUAUAGCAUUUUUUCUCUUGCCCAGGCCUUUUCACAGGUCACCGUCUCCUCAGCUCUACCUCUUUACCUUUUGGGUUUUUGUUUUUUAACUUUACUUUUACUUUGUUUCUUCCUUUUAUUUUUUUUUUGAGGCUCUUCUCAAGUUUCACCUCUUACGGGAAACCUUUCCUAGAUGACCGUUCCCUAGUUAUCUAAUAUCUCUAGUUACUAAAAUAGUUCUAUUCCCUAAUUAUUCCCUAGAUAACUGUUCCCUAGUUAUCUAAUAUUCCUAGUUUUUAAUAUAGUUCUAUUCCCUAGUUAUUCCCCAGUUACUGUGUUCUCCAACUACUAAAGUUAUAUUGCAUUUACUUAUAAGCAUAGGUUUGUGUCUCCCCAACAAGUGGAAUGGGGCGUCUAAGCGGGGGCCUGUGUUUAUCUGUUCAUUUCUCUAUAGCCCCGCCCCCUGACGCAAUGUCUCUGGGCAUAAUAGGUGAACAAUAAAUGCUUCGUUCAUUGAAUUCUCUUGGCCUUUUGGCAUCCUUUGCUUAGAAGGGGCAAGAUCUUUGACCUCAAAUAUUGAGGAGCUGUUGGGUAGACGGCUGCAUUGUACGACUCAGUCCCAGCAGGCAAGCGGAUGAAUGAACAAUCAGAAGUUAUACAGAAACAGACGACAGCUACAGGAGAGGGCUACUAUGGAUAUUUAAGCCACAACAUCCUGAGGCAACAACUAUGCAGCGAUCAUAGGGAACGCCCCAGAAUUCAGGACUUCAUCAGGACCAAGGUGUCUAGAUAUAGAGGGUCAACUACAUGGUUUCUGAGAGUCAAAUACAGUAACGGCCAUAUCCCAAAAUGCUAGGAGGGAGUGAUGUACCCCUUGCAAGCCCCAAGCUCUGGAAUUAUUGUUUGGUUCGGUUUGUUGUUUUCUAUUUUCGCAAUUAAAAUGAAUGUAAUGAAAUAACCUGAUUGAAUUCACCCUACCAUCCAGCUUCCAGCCCACCAUGCCACACUUUAGACAAGAAAUCUCUCUUCUAAUUUAUUUAUUUAAAGCUAGCAUCUACCAUAUCUCAUAAUAUUUGAGAAGAAUCAGAGUUGAGAUGGGUGAAGAAAUAGAGGAGUUGGAGUUGGACUAGAACAAUGGCAUCCAUAGAAUUUUCAGGGUAUUAAGAUAAAAAAUUUGCAUCAACUGGCUUUUCAUAACCAUAAAUUCAUCAGUCUCCCUUGGGACUGAGAGAGCAGGCCUGGAGUGAAAAGAUAAUUAUAGUAGGAUACAACUCCCAGGAUUUCUGUAUUCAACCAUACAAUAACAAACUAGACAACGUUAUCUAGAAAUCCCAACAACAAUCUGGUCCCUGCCCUAUUCUCACUCAGCCAAGAGCUGAGAAAGAUACCUCCUGUCCUAGGCUUCCUUAUUUGACAUGCCAUAAACCCUCUGUCUUCUGAGAUUAAAUUUGACUCGGCUGAAGAAAAAUGCACCCAAGUAUAUAUACUAUGUCUAUUUAUAUUUUUCUUAAACUCUCAUCUCUUAGAAUUGAUUCUGAAUAUCAAUUCCAAGGCAGAAGAGCAAUCAGGGCUAGACAACUGGACUUAAGUGACUUGCCCAGGGUCACACACCUAGAAAGUUUCUAAAUUCACAUCUGAAACCAGUUCCUCCUGACUGCAAGGCCAGGAGUUCUAUCCACUGUGCUGCUUAGCCAAUGGACUUCCUCCCAGUCUGAGAACACACCACAGAGCUCAAGAGAGGCAGAAGAUGGGAGCCUGAGAAAGACAGAGACAGACAGACAGACAUUGCAUGUACAUUUUUUUCAGUCUCUAAGCUCUUUGAAGUUAUUAGCUGUUGCUAAUAGUUAUUAUUCCUC